rnacentral:rRNA from 1 species
UACGUAGGUGGCGAGCGUUAUCCGGAAUGAUUGGGUUUAAAGGGUGCGUAGGCGGGCUUUUAAGUCAGCGGUAAAAAUUCGGGGCUCAACCCCGUCCGGCCGUUGAAACUGGGGGUCUUGAGUGGGCGAGAAGAAGGCGGAAUGCGUGGUGUAGCGGUGAAAUGCAUAGAUAUCACGCAGAACCCCGAUUGCGAAGGCAGCCUUCCGGCGCCCUACUGACGCUGAGGCACGAAAGUGCGGGGAUCGAACAGG